rnacentral:rRNA from 1 species
AGAGUUUGAUCAUGGCUCAGGAUGAACGCUAGCGGCAUGCCUAACACAUGCAAGUCGUACGAAAUUAUUUUAGUGGCGGACGGGUGAGUAACGCGUGAGGAUCUACCUUUAGGAAAGGAAUACAAACAAUUAAAUCCUUAUAAGCUUUAUAGUGAAAAAAGAAAUUUGCCUAGAGAUGAACUCGCGUCUGAUUAGUUAGUUGGUUGGGUAAUGGCCUACCAAGACGAUGAUCAGUAGUUGGUUUGAGAGGAUGACCAGCCACAUUGGAACUGAGACACGGUCCAAACUCCUACGGGAGGCAGCAGUGGGGAAUUUUCUGCAAUGGGCGCAAGCCUGACAGAGCAAUGCCGCGUGAGGGAUGACGGCCUUUGGGUUGUAAACCUCUUUUUUCAAGGAGGAAGUUCUGACGUGUACUUGAAGAAUAAGCAUCGGCUAACUCCGUGCCAGCAGCCGCGGUAAUACGGGGGAUGCAAGUGUUAUCCGGAAUUAUUGGGCGUAAAGCGUCUGUAGGUGGUUUAAUAAGUCUAUUGUUAAAGCUUGAAACUUAACUUCAGAGAUGCAGUAGAAACUGUUAAACUAGAGUAUAAUUGAGGUAGAAGGAAUUUCCAGUGGAGUGGUGAAAUGCGUAGAUAUUGGAAAGAACACCAAUUGCGAAGGCAUUCUAUUAAAUUAUUCUGACACUCAGAGACGAAAGCUAGGGUAGCAAAUGGGAUUAGAUACCCCAGUAGUCCUAGCCGUAAACGAUGGAUACUAUAUAUUAGACGUAUCGACCCGUUUGGUAUUAAAGCUAACGCGUUAAGUAUCCCGCCUGGGGAGUAUGCUCGC